rnacentral:rRNA from 1 species
AGAGUUUGAUCAUGGCUCAGGACGAACGCUGGCGGCAUGCCUUACACAUGCAAGUCGAACGGCAGCACGGACUUCGGUCUGGUGGCGAGUGGCGAACGGGUGAGUAAUACAUCGGAACGUGUCCUGGAGUGGGGGAUAGCCCGGCGAAAGCCGGAUUAAUACCGCAUACGACCUGAGGGAGAAAGCGGGGGAUCUUCGGA